rnacentral:lncRNA from 1 species
UUGAAAGCCGCUCUUCUAGCCUCAAUAUUUUCGCUUUGCACCAGCUUAAUGAGCGCAGGGCAAGCCUUCUCAGCUACAUUAGUUUUCUUCUCAUGUCCAAUAUCAAUUUCCACUAGGUAUGCAGCCAUUACCACCUGCGUCUCUUCACUCCCUGCAUUAACAAGCCUUAUGUUUAGAUGAAGUCCUUCCAACAUAAACUGAUACAUCAUUAUUGUUGAUCAUUUCACUGCAGGUUUAUGCUUGUAUAAGUUAGGAAUCACCUUCGGCUAGAUGAAUGAGAAGAGGUUCCAAGAGCCCACUCUCUGCCAUUUGCUUGAUAUUGUGAGGGAACUUCUCUAGAUUUUUUAAGAUUUGGUCUGCUGUUUCAGACGCAAAGGCAUCCGACUCUUCAUUGUACUUUGAGGUAACUAACAUCAAUAUUGCCCCUGUAGCAAUCCCAAUCUUCUUACAUGCAUGUUGAGAUUUCGAAAGCUCAAGCAGUAAGGCUAGUGCUGCAUGUCUCACAGUCUGGUGACUGCUUCCCAAAAAUUUGAUCACGCAUGACAUAGCUAACGUAUUCACAAUCAUUUCCUGUAAGAUAACUUUGAGAUAUAAAAAAAAAUAUUGAAACAAGAACUAGCUGUGUCUAAAAUGCAACUUUAAGUAAUGAAAAUGAAAGAGAACGAACCUUUCCUUCAUCAGUGUCUUCGUCUGCUAGUGUCUUUAACAAUUGUAGCAGUUCAUACCUCACAUCUUUACUUCUGUAGGUUAAGUAUCUAUCAAGCAACUGAAUGAUCCCAGCUUCACGGACUUUUAACUUGUUAUACUCUUUCCCUUCACAGGUCAUUUGCAGAUCCCUUAACGCAUCGAUAACCAUACUUUCUGAACCGCCUAAGGAUAAAGCUGCGUGAGCCACCUUGAUUCUUGCCGUCUCGUUUCGCACUUUCCAUUCUCCAAUGAUGGUUUUCAAGACAAGAUUG